rnacentral:rRNA from 1 species
GAUGAACGCUGGCGGCGUGCCUAAUACAUGCAAGUCGAGCGAACAGACGAGGAGCUUGCUCCUCUGACGUUAGCGGCGGACGGGUGAGUAACACGUGGAUAACCUACCUAUAAGACUGGGAUAACUUCGGGAAACCGGAGCUAAUACCGGAUAAUAUUUUGAACCGCAUGGUUCAAUAGUGAAAGACGGUUUUGCUGUCACUUAUAGAUGGAUCCGCGCCGCAUUAGCUAGUUGGUAAGGUAACGGCUUACCAAGGCAACGAUGCGUAGCCGACCUGAGAGGGUGAUCGGCCACACUGGAACUGAGACACGGUCCAGACUCCUACGGGAGGCAGCAGUAGGGAAUCUUCCGCAAAGGGCGAAAGCCUGACGGAGCAACGCCGCGUGAGUGAUGAAGGUCUUCGGAUCGUAAAACUCUGUUAUUAGGGAAGAACAAAUGUGUAAGUAACUACGCACGUCUUGACGGUACCUAAUCAGAAAGCCACGGCUAACUACGUG